rnacentral:rRNA from 1 species
GACGAACGCUGGCGGCGUGCUUAACACAUGCAAGUCGAGCGGUAAGGCUCCUUAGGGAGUACACGAGCGGCGAACGGGUGAGUAACACGUGAGAAACCUGCCCUUCUCAUCGGAAUAAGCGUUGGAAACGACGUCUAAUGCCGAAUACGACCUCCUUUCGCAUGAUCGGAGGUGGAAAGCUCCGGCGGAGAAGGAUGGGCUCGCGGCCUAGCAGCUAGUUGGUGUGGGUAACGGCCCACCAAGGCGACGACGGGUAGCCGGCCUGAGAGGGUGACCGGGCACAAUGGGACAGAGACACGGCCCAGACUCCUACAGGGGGCAACAGUGGGGAAAUUUGGACAGUGGGCUAGAGCGUGAGCCAGCGCCGCCGCGUGAGGAAGGACGGCCUUUGGGUUAGAAACCUCGUUCAGCGGGGACGAAGCGAAAGUGACGGUACCUGCAGAAGAAGGACCGGCCAACUACGUGCCAGCAGCCGCCGUAACAC